UACAGAGGUCUCGAGCGUUGUUCGGAUUCAUUGGGCGUGAAGGGCGCGUAGGCGGCGGGGUAAGUCUGGUGUGAAAUCUCGGAGCUCAACUCCGAAAUUGCACUGGAUACUGCUCUGCUAGAGGGCUGGAGAGGAGAUCGGAAUUCACGGUGUAGCAGUGAAAUGCGUAGAUAUCGUGAGGAAGACCAGUGGCGAAGGCGGAUCUCUGGACAGCUCCUGACGCUGAGGCGCGAAGGCUAGGGGAGCAAACGGG
rnacentral:rRNA from 1 species